UGGAGCGCCUCGGGACUGCCAUGGACCAGGCUGUAUGCCAACGCCUCCACCUUCCCAGCUCCCUGCGAUGGUUCCAGCCACCCAAGCACUCUCUACAUCACCCGGUCCGAUCAGCAAUGUCCACCUGCCCCUCCCGGAACGGUUUGAUGGCACCCCAGCUCAUUUUAGUGUGACCUCCACCUGGCACGUCAUACCGGGACGGCCUCCGAGAAGGACAAGGUGGCCUUGGUAAUCUCGGUGCAGACAGGCUGGGCUCUGGAGUGGGCGCACACCAUUUGGGAGAGGGACGGACCAGAAGUGCAGUCCUAUGAGCGCUUCACCCAACUCUUCCGUGCCGUCUUCGGCCACCCUACAGCGUCGGAGUACGCUCCGGAUUUCCGGACGUGGCUGCGUCCAAUGGCUGGAAUGACGAGGCCCUGUUGAUAGUUUUCCGCAGUGGCUACAGGCGGACAUCCAGACCGAGCUGGCCUUUCGCGAUGAGGACCUCACGCUGGACCCGCUCAUCGCCAUGGCUAUCCACCUGGAUAAUCUCCUGCGUGCUUGUCAUCGCCCAUCCUGGGGGUUCGGGACUCUCCCAGGAACCUCCAGCGAGACUGAACCCAUGGAGGUGGGCACUAUGCACCUUCUCCCCGAGGAACAUCAACACCGCCGUCAACAAGGUCUCUGCUCCUACUGCGGGGAGUCAGACCACCCCUAGAACACCUGUCCCAGUCGGAGAACCAGGCAAGGAAGCGACAGGCCGAGGAACGCUCCUGCACCUUCCCAGCCCAGCAGACCGUGAAGGCUCUCUUCUCUCACGUCAUCUGGCACUACGAGAUCCCGGAGCACAUCGGGUCUGACCGUGGUCCUCAGUUCACCUCCCGUGUCUGGAAGGCCCUCAUGGAACGACUGGGGUCAGCCUCACCUCCGGGUACUGUCCCCAAUCUAAUGGGCAGGUGGAAAGGGUAAGUCAGGAACUGGGUAGGUACCUUUGUAGUUACUGUCAGGACCGGCUGGUGGGAGUGGGCUGCGUUUCUGCCUUGUGCAGAAUACGUACAAAACUCCCUCUGUCACUCCUCCACUAACCUCACAUCCUUUCAGUGUGUUCUAUGAUAUCAGCCGGCCCUGAUCGUGGCUCCUGCAGUGGACGAUUGUUUCCAGCGCGGCGAGGAGGUAUGGAACACCGCGCACACCUGUCUCCAGCGCGUCGUCCAACGCGUCGCAGAAGAAGGCGCAGGCCAAUUUUCACCGCAGUGUGGCCCCGUAUCUUUCACCCUGGUGACAGGGUCUGGCUUUCUACAAAGGACCUGCCCCUUCGCCUGCCUUGUCGGAAGCUGACGCCCGGUGGCAGCUGAUCCCUUGGCUAGUGCUGGACCCCACGAAACCCCCCACCCCUAACUUAGAUGUCAAGGGCGUACUCCGUCCACAGCCUGUUGGACUCAUCGUGAGGGGCUUCUCCAGUACGUGGUCUACUGGGAGGGGUACGGUCCCAGGUUCCAGCGUGGGACAGUCUGGUUUGUUCUCUCAUUCGGGACUUUCACAGGCGUCGUCCUGGCCGACCCUCACUGCGUCUCCGGGGUUGUCUCCAAGGUCAGCGGCGCCCCGCUGCCGGAGCAGAACCUCGGUGGUGGGUGUACUGUCACACCAGCCUUCGCUUCGGCUUCCCCGGCCUUCUAGCUGAUGCCGAACCUACUGCUGGAAAACACCCUUCACUCAUCAACUCCAAACUUGUCUCAUCAUCAUUACACACACCUGGUUCCAAUCCCCACUCUAUCACUGUAUAUAUACUCCCUCUGCCAUUUGUCUUUGUCGGUCAUUGUAAAUGUUACUUGUUAUCCUGAGAGGAAUCUCUCCUACUAUUUCCUGAGUACUUCAUAUUUUGCACUUGGGUUCGCCCUGUGCCUUUCUGUUUAUGAAGAUAUAUUUUGAGCACAACAGCGUUUGGGUUUCGUCCCGCUUUGAUCUAUGAUGCUUAAAUAAAUUCAGUGGUUCUAAACCUGCAACUGCCUCCUGCCUACUGCCUCCUGCCUCUACAUCAGUGACAUGUACAAAGAAUCUCCAAUCUUCUAGCAUUAUUAUUCUAACUGUUUUAUCCUUUAUGGUGCGUGAAUGCAAGAACUGUGAGUACAUUAUUUGUUUCCUUAUGUUUCCUGAUAAAAUGGUCAAUGUUUAAGUUAUAUUUUCAUCAUUGUACAGUAUUUUAUGUACUCGUUUUUAUGCUAGCUAAGAAACUACGGUUAGCCACAUUUUGCCUGUUAGAUUACUAGCUAGCUAAGUUGUAGCCAUUUGUAUGUUGUUUUUGAGUCAUUGUAUUGUUAUAGCAGAUGCUAAAUGUUUUUACUUGUUUGUUAUUACUAAAUACAGUAUA